ACUCCUACGGGGGGCAGCAGCGGGGAAUCUUGCGCAAUGGGCGAAAGCCUGACGCAGCGACGCCGCGUUGGGGAAGAAGUCUUUCGGGAUGUAAACCCAUGUUGACAGGGAGAAGAAGGAGAUAGUACCUGUUGAGGAAGCCACGGCUAACUACGUGCCAGCAGCCGCGGUAA
rnacentral:rRNA from 1 species